rnacentral:rRNA from 1 species
UACGGAGGAUGCGAGCGUUAUCCGGAUUUAUUGGGUUUAAAGGGUGCGUAGGCGGAAGAAUAAGUCAGUGGUGAAACCCUGCAGCUUAACUGUAGACUUGCCAUUGAUACUGUUUUUCUUGAGUAUGGUCAAGGCAGGCGGAAUGUGUAAUGUAGCGGUGAAAUGCUUAGAUAUUACACAGAACACCGAUAGCGAAGGCAGCUUGCUGGGCCGUUACUGACGCUGAUGCACGAAAGCGUGGGGAUCGAACAGG